GCCUUCGGGGUGUAGUGGUCAGCACACUCCACGCUUAACCGAGAGGUCCGUGGUUCGACUCCCGGGGAAGGCG
rnacentral:tRNA from 1 species